CUGUUAAAUAAGAGUAAGCCCGGGCGCGUCCCCACCACUUGGGGCCCAAAAAGGAUAAGAACACACUCGCACCUGAACACGGCCUCAGAUCGCUCAGUUCGCGGUUCGCUUCAACAUUCGUCCGAGUGCGCUCCUAACUUUUCUCUCAUAUUCAAUCUUCUCCAAUUUUUGAUCUCGGCCAGAUCGCGCAUCUUCGAACAUUAUUCAGAGCACAGAUCGAUUAUAGUGUUGUGUAGUGGGCAAGAACAAGCUACAAAAGAACUAUCUCUUCUUUUCUCUCUCAUUCCGGAAUACGGCGUCAACGCGAUCAAAGGAUAUAGAGGUAACAAACGGAAGAGUGAUCUAUCGUGUGUGUGAUAGACGUCGAUCGGCCCGGCCACAGCGGCUCCUCUCUGUACGAUCUAACAUCUCGCGCGGCCGAUUUAUUUCCUGCGUGUGACGCACCUCGAUCGAGCGCGCCGUCCGCCGGCGCGGCGCGUCACGUGCCGAAGAAUAUACGAGGAUCGAGGAGGAAGAAUAGAAGAAGACGACGACGACGACAACGAAGAGAAGGGGCAUUGUGUGAAGAAUCGAAAGACGGCGUCACGGCGGAUUGACACAGGCGAUGAUCGUUGGCGCGGCGUCGAUUCGCAUCUCCGGAUCUGCAUGCCACACGGACCGCGCGAGUGACGAAAGCCGGGAAAGAGGAAGCGAGAGGCAGGUCGUAUAAUUCAACACAGCUCGUUCUGGGUAAGAUUGUGACGCUCCCGGAGAAAUAAGCACGUGAUCGGACUAUGAGAAUCGCAGCCGAGUCUUCGAUUGAGUUUCAACCCUGGCUUUGACUCACACGAUUCUGGAUCGCAAAUUGCAGCAGAACGAUCAUCAUCGAAUUGACAAAUACAUAUCGUCGUUCGGGCAAUUCAUUAACGCGGGAAAAACUGUUACACAUUUUGCAUAAUAGAUAGGUCAGGAUUCGUGACAAUAUUUAGCAUUUAUCUUAAUAUUGCACUAGUCCCGGCCUAUCGGGAUGCAUCGUGUCUCAUCGAGCAAAACAAAGGAUGUGAUGACAAAUAAGAGAAAAUCAAGAGAAAAAGAGAUAGUUGUUCGAAUUACCAAGCAAUUGUCCGAGAGAUGGAGAUUUUCGAGGAUUGGGCA